AUUGAACGCUGGCGGCAUGCCUUACACAUGCAAGUCGAACGGCAGCACGGGAGCAAUCCUGGUGGCGAGUGGCGAACGGGUGAGUAAAGUAUCGGAACGUGCCCAGUCGUGGGGGAUAACGUAGCGAAAGUUACGCUAAUACCGCAUACGAUCUAUGGAUGAAAGCGGGGGAUCGCAAGACCUCGCGCGAUUGGAGCGGCCGAUAUCAGAUUAGGUAGUUGGUGGGGUAAAGGCUCACCAAGCCGACGAUCUGUAGCUGGUCUGAGAGGACGACCAGCCACACUGGGACUGAGACACGGCCAAGACUCCUACGGGAGGCAGCAGUGGGGAAUUUUGGACAAUGGGCGCAAGCCUGAUCCAGCCAUGCCGCGUGCAGGAUGAAGGCCUUCGGGUUGUAAACUGCUUUUGUACGGAACGAAAAGGUUUGACCUAAUACGUUGGACUCAUGACGGUACCGUAAGAAUAAGCACCGGCUAACUACGUGCCAGCCGCCGCGGUAA
rnacentral:rRNA from 1 species